rnacentral:rRNA from 1 species
UACGUAGGGGCCGAGCGUUGUCCGGAGUUAUUGGGCGUAAAGCGCGCGCAGGCGGCUUCGCGCGCCCGACGUGAAAGCCCCCGGCUUAACCGGGGAGAGUCGUUGGGGACGGCGGAGCUUGAGGGCGGGAGAGGUCGGUGGAAUUCCCGGUGUAGUGGUGAAAUGCGUAGAUAUCGGGAGGAACACCAGUGGCGAAGGCGACUUCCUGGCCUGUUCUUGACGCUGAGGCGCGAAAGCUAGGGUAGCAAACGGG